ACCUUUUGAUUUUAUCGUAAAUUGCACAUGCGUUGACCAACACAUUAAUCGGUGUUGACGUGGCUCCCGAAAUUUGUCGACGUGGACGCUCCGGCGUUCAAAUAAAAUGACGUCGUUUUGUAGUUAUAUUCUAACACUCAAAACGACGUCGUUUUGAGUGAGUCUAAUUUAAAAAAAAAGAAAAAGAAAAAGAGAGGGCAUCUCCGGUGUCUCCCUUAUCACUCCCAGCCGCCGCACCUUGCACACCAUCGUCGUACACCGACCUCCGCCAUGCUCGUCUUGAUCAAUGGUGUUUCCAUUACUCAUAUGGUGAUGAUGCAGGCCAUGAUGAUUUUGAUCUUUGAAGUAAUGCAUCAUCCCCGUUUCCCCUCCAUGAAUUCCGUCCAUUCUCAUUGAAAUUUUA
rnacentral:lncRNA from 1 species